rnacentral:misc_RNA from 1 species
GUCCACGUAUGGCACAUGCAGCGUACGUGUCGCUUUCGCAGUCGGUAGCUAUAUUAUUAAUGUGGAGGCGCUGAUCACGAAAAAGACGGUGGUUCUCCUGCGCGAACCAGCACUGCCCCAAUUCGCAAACGAGAAACAGCUAGCAACUGGAACGGCAAACUUUUUUGCCCUUUUUUCAGACUGUUAUUCUGUCUCGGAUAACUAUGUCUCCUUCGGUCCCUGUGUUACUGCUGACACUGUCAUCAUUCCACCUUUCCUUGUUCUCUGCAUCAGCUCGUUCAUUUUGGACGUUUCACAAACAUCUUCAUGAGGCUCCUGAUGCUUUUAAGAUAUUGGGCAUGGACCCUUUUUUGGUGGCUCUGAGGGACGUCAACCAGGAUCCAAAGUUGAAGUGCCUCACAGCAACCCGCAUUGAUUUUGACCCUAAAGUCCCGUCAGCAACCUUCCAGUGGUCGUUCAGUGGAGACCAAAACACUCCAAGGAAAAAUGCCACGCUGCGUUUCACCAAGGGAACAUCUAUCGACACUACAAAGCUCUUAGUGGACAAUGGAAAUGGAGAGAUGAGCUAGCAGCGGCAACAAGCGCAGGACAAGACACCGCUCAUCCGCAUGUUGGUCGUUUUCUGUACGCUGAUAAUCCCCUGACAUGGGCUGUCAUGGAACUACGCUAUUUUGGCUAUCAAUGUACCUUGUGGGUUCGAAACACCAUGAAACACACUGUGUCGAAGAAAUGCUUUAAAAAGCAUGCCACUCUCUGUGCAAACGGUGUUUCUCUCUACGACAAAGCAACCUGCGGUGACUACUAAGCUUGAAACAAGAAUUUUGAAAACAUGUAAUGCAAAUAAAACGGUGUGCCAAAAACACAGCGCUAUGUUAAGCAUCCUAUGCCCUGUCCCGUCCUGAUGCGCUAUACAUUGAAUACUAUAAAUACCAAGAAGCCCUUCGUGCAGCCACAAUGAACACACCACCUUUGUAAGUGAAUAGUUUGAAUCCCGUUUACUGCUCUUGCUCCCAAAUUUGUGAAGUAAAAGCCACUCAUUGGCGUCUUCCCGAGA